CUACGGACUUGAUUGUAUUGAGCCUUGGUAUGGAAACCUGCUAAGUGGCAACUUCCAAAUUCAGAGAAACCCUGGAAUUAAAAAAGGGGCAAUCCUGAGCCAAAUCCAUGUUUUGAGAAAACAAGCGGUUCUCGAACUAGAACCCAAAGGAAAAGGAUAGGUGCAGAGACUCAAUGGAAGCUGUUCUAACGAAUCGAGUUAAUUACGUUGUGUUGCUAGCGGAACUCCCUUCUAAAUUAGGGAAAGANAGGAUAGGUGCAGAGACUCAAUGGAAGCUGUUCUAACGAAUCGAGUUAAUUACGUUGUGUUGCUAGCGGAACUCCCUUCUAAAUUAGGGAAAGAAGGGCUUUCGAAAUCUAAUACACACGUAUAGAUACUGGCAUAGCAAACGAUUAAUCACAGAACUCAUAUCAUAAUAUAGGUUCUUUAAUUCUUUUUUAAAAUGAAAAUAGGAAUGAUUAUGAAAUAGAAAAUUCAUAAUUUUUUUAGAAUUGUUGUGAAUCCAUUCCAAUCGAAUAUUGAGUAAUCAAAUCCUUCAAUUCAUAGUUUUCGAAAUCUUUUUAAAAGCGGAUUAAUCGGACGAGGAUAAAGAGAGAGUCCCAUUCUACAUGUCAAUACUGA
rnacentral:ncRNA from 1 species